rnacentral:rRNA from 1 species
GGCUGUCGUCAGCUCGUGUCGUGAGAUGUUGGGUUAAGUCCCGCAACGAGCGCAACCCCUAUUGUUAGUUGCCAUCAUUCAGUUUGGGCACUCUAGCGAGACUGCCGGUAAUAACCGGAGGAAGUGGGAUGACGUCAAUCAUCAUGCCCCUUAUGACCUGGGCUACACACGUGCUACAAUGGUUGGUACAACGAGUUGCGAGUCGGUGACGGCGAGCUAAUCUCUUAAAGCCAAUCUCAGUUCGGAUUGUAGGCUGCAACUCGCCUACAUGAAGUCGGAAUCGCUAGUAAUCGCGGAUCAGCACGCCGCGGUGAAUACGUUCCCGGGCCUU